rnacentral:rRNA from 1 species
GAUGAACGCUGACAGAAUGCUUAACACAUGCAAGUCUACCAAGAAUCACUUCGGUGAGGAAUGGUGGCGGACGGGCGAGUAACGCGUAAAUAAUCUGCCCUUUAGACUGGGAUAUCCUUUGGAAACGAAGGUUAAUACCGGAUAUUAUGAGAUGGACGCAUGUUCAACUUAUGAAAGCUAAAUGCACUAGAGGAGGAGUUUGCGUCCCAUUAGCUAGUUGGUGAGGUAAAGGCUCACCAAGGCCACGAUGGGUAGCCGGCCUGAGGGGGUGAACGGCCACAAGGGAACUGAGACACGGUCCUUACUCCUACGGGAGGCAGCAGUGGGGAAUAUUGGACAAUGGACCAAAAGUCUGAUCCAGCAAUUCUGUGUGCACGAUGAAGGUCUUCGGAUUGUAAAGUGCUUUCAGUAGGGAAGAAAAAAAUGACGGUACCUACAGAAGAAGCGACGGCUAAAUAUGUGCCAGCAGCCGCGGUAA